UACGAAGGGGGCUAGCGUUGCUCGGAAUCACUGGGCGUAAAGGGCGCGUAGGCGGAUCUUUAAGUCGGGGGUGAAAGCCCGAGGCUCAACCUCGGAACUGCCUUCGAUACUGCGGGUCUCGAGGUCGGAGAGGUGAGUGGAAUUCCUAGUGUAGAGGUGAAAUUCGUAGAUAUUAGGAAGAACACCAGUGGCGAAGGCGGCUCACUGGCCCGGUACUGACGCUGAGGCGCGAAAGCGUGGGGAGCAAACAGG
rnacentral:rRNA from 1 species